UCCUGAUCUGAUCUGAUCUGGGGGAGGGAGGGCUACUACACCUUGACCUAUAACCCACAGCUGCCUUAUUGGAUGGUGGAGGACCCUCUGAGGGGCAAGGUGUGCCAGCGAAACCAGGGAGAGGCAACUGGGUCCCCUCCAGAUAUUUUGAACCAUCUGAGAUCAUUGUGAAGGUUGUCUCUGCAGCCAUCAGAGGAACACAUUUCACAUGAAGACAGAGAUGCCAUUUGACGCCAGUGAAACUAAAUCGCAUCAACACAAAUCCCUUCCCAAGCUGCUGGAGAGGCUGUCAGACUGCAGAAAUCCUUCCAAACAAGUUGUUUCAUUUUGACUCAGAGGGUUGAAGCUACUAAAACCACUCCUAGCCUUGUCCAGACCCAGGCAUAGAAGCCAAACCACACAAAACAGGAUAUGACUUCAUGGUGUCUUCAAGGAUGGCGAAAAACAACA